UACGUAGGGUGCGAGCGUUAAUCGGAAUUACUGGGCGUAAAGCGUGCGCAGGCGGUUAUGUAAGACAGGUGUGAAAUCCCCGGGCUUAACCUGGGAACGGCAUUUGUGACUGCAUAGCUAGAGUCCGGAAGAGGCGAGUGGAAUUCCUGGUGUAGCGGUGAAAUGCGCAGAUAUCAGGAGGAACACCUAUGGCGAAGGCAGCUCGCUGGGACGGUACUGACGCUGAGACGCGAAAGCGUGGGGAGCGAACAGG
rnacentral:rRNA from 1 species